CUGCAUGACAUCAGCAGCCCGGGACUGCAAAAACAUACUUACUCUAUUCGCUUUAAAACGGGAAACCUGUACCAUCUCAUGUUCGUGAAAACAACCGUUGAAAGACGUGAAGAAUAAAUGUGUCUCAACCAGCAGCACUCCACAGCGCACUAGACGAAGAAGGAACUACCUUUUGGGAGUCAUCCCUGAAUGGAUAACAGUUUGAGUUACAGUUGAAUUCUGAGAGUACCUUAUUAUUGACAGUGUAAAAAAAGUUUGGCUGCUGUUGAAGAAAAUCAACUGACAACCUAAUUCUUUGGGUGCAACUUAGACCAAUAACACACACACAGUGUUUCUGAGUCUUAAUAACGACGUCAGACUCCAGGCUAGCGGACACUCUAAGGGAAGCCAUCUGUUUUCCAAUAACCUAGUGGACACACUGUUUUUGGAAGAAUGACUGAGUCUACCGCUGACCUUGGGUAGUCAAUGUCCUCUGGACCAACUCUGGGAGCUGAUUAGGGAAUAUCACUUCACCCAGACUGGCUGUGUGUUAACACAUAUCUACAGGCCACAUCCGUCCGGCACUGGAGCUCAUUUACCCACAGAUAAAUUUGACUGACAAAAGGUCAUGAGAGCUGCUGCUCUGCAGGAGCCUUGAUAAGCUAGCCCGUGACGAGCUCCUGACGUCGGGUAGCUGUGUGGAGGGGCGGGGCUGGCACUGCUGGCUUUGUCCGGAAGGUUCCGGAAUCUGACAGCUUUCCCCCUCGGGCGAGUUGGUGCAACACUGUGACUCUUCAAGCAGAAUCAAGAUCAGCUGCAGAACCCGGUGGACAAGGAUGACCAGGUGGACAAGGACGACUAGGUGGACCAGGGCAACUAUGUGGACCCGGAAAACCAGGUGGACUGGGACAACCAGGUGGAUCAGGACAACCAGGUAGGCGAGGACAACCAGGUGGGCUGUAGGCAGUGACAGCUGGAAUUAUCAGUCAGACUAGAUCUGCAACACAACCGAAAGUACUUUGGACUGGGACAGUCAGAAAUUGCCAGGGCUUACAGUUCUAGUCUGAGGUCCAAAGGACUCAUGUCUUCCUCAAAAUCAAGAAAUUAGGCGGGGAAGCCACCAUUAGGGCAUGUGGAUAGAGUGGAGCUUUGAUGCAGUAUAGAUGAGGAAAAUGGACCAUUGGAACACAGAACACUGCCAUUGGCAUACAGGCAGAAACUGAUCUAACAAAGUCAAUAUUUGUGAAAUCCGUCAGGAUUUAUUGUAACAGGAACAUAAGUAGUUAAGCAACUCAUAUUUUUGUGUAUUUUACUUGUUUUAACAGCAUGACGUUUAGAAAUCAUGUUCUCCCUCAUCACAAAGGCAGUGUCUCUAUUUACCUUUAAUGCAUAUCUUUAGAAAUAACCUUUUGUAGUUAAUAUUCUACAAUCAUUACUAAAUACACAGCUACAAUGAAUAUUGAAAAUUGUAGUCUAAAUAUGCAGUAAUCAUGGUUUAGACUAGGGCACAGCACUGUGACUGGUUGUAAAUGAUAUGGCCAGAACCCUGAGAAUAGUUUUUUAAAUGGUUCAAUAUUUCAAUUGUAUUUUUAUAACCUUUAUGCUCUAUACCAAAGCACUGCUUCAUUGUGUGUUCUUUUUAUAAGCUGUUGCUGAAAACGGUUUCCAUCAAAAGGUAAAUACCAUGUAUGGGUCUUAAUAAAAGCAAUCUUCAUUGUGAGCGUUUAAAAUGUUACUACAUCAUGUAUCUUUAGCCAUAUAAAGCAUGUGUAAAGAUGUAUUAAAACUGAG
ensembl:lncRNA